GAUGAACGCUAGCGGCAGGCCUAAUACAUGCAAGUCGGACGGGAUUUGGGAGCUUGCUCCUAAUGAGAGUGGCGCACGGGUGCGUAACACGUAUGUAACCUACCUUAGUCAGGGGGAUAGCCUCUCGAAAGAGAGAUUAAGACCGCAUAACAUUAUUGAGUGGCAUCAUUUAAUAAUCAAAUAUUUAUAGGACUAAGAUGGGCAUGCGGAACAUUAGCGAGUUGGUAGGGUAACGGCCUACCAAGGCUACGAUGUUUAGGGGAUCUGAGAGGAUGGCCCCCCACACUAGUACUGAGACACGGACCAGACUCCUACGGGAGGCAGCAGUAAGGAAUAUUGGUCAAUGGGCGGAAGCCUGAACCAGCCAUGCCGCGUGCAGGAAGACGGCCCUACGGGUUGUAAACUGCUUUUAUACGGGAAUAAACCUACUUACGUGUAAGUAGCUGAAUGUACUGUAAGAAUAAGGAUCGGCUAACUCCGUGCCAGCAGCCGCGGUAA
rnacentral:rRNA from 1 species